UUUAGCUUAACACAUUUACUUUACGAUAAAAUUCAGAAUAAAUCUUAAAGACCCUCUCUCUAUAUAAAAAGUAGGAGAUAAAGUCAACUUGAAUAGCUUGAGGGAGAAAGCUAAAGCCUCAUGCAGCACAUUUCAUAUUUUUUCAUGAAUUGUGAUUGGCAUCCAUUUUGUUUAUGUCUUUUUUAUCGUUUUUUUAAUAAUAAUCCGACUUUGUCUUGCAUGACAAGUUCGAAACUGAAUCGAUCAGAUCAUGGAGAUCGUAACCGAGUCGCUUUGCUCCUUUUCACGUGAGAUUGUCAUAAGUUUAGUUCCCUGUGUAAUAAAGAGGGUCUUCUCAUCCAAAAGGCAAGUCUCAUCCAAAAGGAAAAAAAAAACCAACCUUACCGAUUUAGAAUUUUAGACGAGGGGGCCUUUGGUGGAUAAUACCUAGUGUAUACUCACUCACACGUCGUACCUAGUGUAUCCGUAAUGUAUACACUGGUGGAUACAAUAGUGUUGCCCUACGAUUAUAGAUGUUCAAUAAGCACGAGGCCCGCGAGCCCGGCACGAAGCCCGCUGUUUGGGCCCGGUCUGAGCCCGACACGGCCCGGGCUGGCCCGGCACGAAUAAGCGGACCGGGCUUGGACAGGAAACUAGGCACGGCGGGCUAGCUCGGUACGGCCCGUUUACCUCUAAGCACGUUAAGCCCGCUUUUGGCCCGCUUUUUUCGUGCUAAACGGGUCGACCCGGCCCGUUUAGGCCCGCUGCGGGCUGGGCUUAGACAGAGAAUCAAGCCCGCGGGCUUAGCAGGCUCGGCCCGGUUUUCUAACCGUACCUGGCGGACCGGGUUUCACCAGGCCCGGGCCGGCCCGGACCAGGCGGCCCGUUUGGCCAUCUCUACCUACGAUACGAGUGAGGCCACAAGUGACGGAUCGAGAAAUUACCGAAGCACCAAACUAAAGUUAAUAUGACAAUAGGAUAACAAAAUACAUCAUAGUGCAACAAGGUAUGUCCGGUGGAUUAUACAAUGGUAUGGAUCCAACAAUUAACUACGUCCUGUGCAACGUAUAUACACGGGAUAGAUGAUCGUAGGUAGCCCAACACGUACGUCCGGUCGAAAGGCGAUUCUCUGCCUCUGGUUCUGGCUCAUCCUGCAAGUUUUCCAUGGGCUAGCUUAAUCAUGGGCGGACCAUGGGUCGGAUCCAUCUGUCAACUUCGACUUCCCUGAGCUGUCGCGGGCCCCGGAGGGCUCAAGACGUAUCUGGGCUCGUUUCCCAGGUCAUCAGGCACGCGCACCGCGGGCCGGGAGAGGCCGGAACUGCAUGCACAUCCUUGUUUUUUUUUAUAGCACGUCGCGGUCGCGCACCAGCAACGAUUGAAGAAAACCGCAACGAUUUGUUGCUGGAUUCCACGGCGCUUCCUUCUCUGGAUGGAUCGGGUGCGAAUGUGCCUUGUCGUCCUCGCCGAGAAAUAGAAUGCCUCGACGAAUGGGGGAGCUGCCUGUCGCGGCCACGCCACUCCUUGGUACGUACCGGUACCUGGUAGUAGCAGGCGCUAGCGUCACGCAACCGGAAGUCGAUACUCGUGAGAGCAUCCAACGAAUUCGUCUGUGCACGCGUCGCAUGGCGCCAAAGUGGAGCAGGGCCGAGCCCGAGCGCUUGCGUUUUUUUGUCGGCGGGCAGCGCUCUAGCCGCCUAGCCUCUAGUACAGACAGGCUACAAGUGCUGAAGUGCAGUACACCAGGUCAUGCGUCUGUACUGCGGCCUGCUCGCAAUGCUGUACCCGUCCAAUAGGGCACUAGUACGCUGCCCUGGCUCUUGUCGUCUGUCACCCCCAACGCUCAUGCCAGAUGUCCUCCUAGCUUAGGUUACAUUUGGGUUUGACAAAUUCGCUCCCUGCCUGGAAGUUCUAGAUGCCGUUUCCCUACGGGGCGUUCGCAACAGUCGAUAUCGACAUCGCCGCCGGUUGACUGCAGUUCAAUAAAAAAAGAACGCACUCUCUGGGUUCACUAAGGCUAAAUUAACACACGCACAGUUUCCUCUGCAUUGGUAUUGGUUAUCAGAGAGAAGUGGGGACUUGUAACCAUACGUACGCUCUCCCUUUGAGGCUCUCCGGCUAGCGAUGGUAUUUCUCACCCGUUUUAUUUCCUCACAUAGAGAUGUUAAUGGACCAUGAUAUAAAUAUUUCUUCACAAUAAGUUAUGACACUUAAUUAAUUUUAGUUUAGAACUGACAGAAAUAGAGUCCGGUCCGAAUCCACGACCCGUCCUUAAAACUUUAUAGUGUAAAAUCUAAAAUCCAUUACUACUCCUAUCUCCAAGUCAUUUCGAGCUAGCGAGUGGAUUGUCGAGGAAAGCCCUAAGGUCUAAGCAAGCAUAUCUAUCCUUAUCUCCAUGCUCGCUUUGUGCUUUGAAAGACUAGCAUAAAGAUUUAUGCAUAACCAUUGCAUUCCUCGCUUCCCGCUUUGAAAGGGUAGCAUAAGAUUUACAUAACCAUUUUAUUCUGAAUGUCAACCGGUAUCCCGAUACAUAAAUAAGAUAACUAUACUAAUCGUAAUUGAUUUUCUCUCCAUAAGGGCUGAUUUGGUGACCCGGGAUCACGGAAGAAUUGGAGAGGAUUGAGGGGAAAAUUAGUUCAUUUUCCCCUUAGGGCAUGUUCGUUUGCAAGGGAUUUAUUCCCCAAGUGGACCAAAUCCAAGGAGGGAUUGAGUGGAUCCCUCUCUUUCACUCAAUACCUUUGGGGGUUUAAUCCCUCCCUGGAUUUAAUCCUUCUCUCAAGAAUCCAUUCGGUUAAUCCUUAGCACAUUUGUGUUUGGCCCCGUGUGUAUCUAGUAUACCCGCUUAUUCAAGCAGUACAGCCAGUACAUCCAAAUAAUUUAUUCAAGCAGACUCAACCAUCAUUUCAGAAUUAGAAUCGAAGAAAUUAUCAUCUAGAUUCAGAGCAGACCAAAGCAUAGUUUUUUCAGUGUUCUUCGGACCAAAGCAAAGUUUUUUCAGAGGCAAGUCAGUACAAGCAACUCAAAGCAACAAGUUCAAACAAGUUCAAAUUGUAUGUUGUGCUCAAUGGCGUGAGCAUAGAAAGCAUAUUAAAUAGUCUAGUUUUUUCCCAUGAGGAGGGCACAGUCUGUAUUUCUUCUGCAGGCUCAGCUAAUCCUACUCUCUCAUCUGAAAUAUAUGGAUCAACAGUCUGCACAACAAGAAGUAAAUUUAGUAUAUCAAAUCAUCUAUAUCCUAAUAAGAUUGCUCAUUUGCUGCAACAAUAGUGAGUGGCAAAAGUGUGAUAUCCUGGCCCCUGGGAUGGGAUGUCCUGGCCCAAGGCUUAAUAGAAUUAAUAGUGUAAUCAUACCAACAAGGUGCAUUUUCUUUUUCGGAAGCCUAUCUCGAAAGAACCUCCAAGUUAAGCGUGCUUGGCUUGGAGCAAUUUGGGAUGGGUGACCGACCGGAAAGUUUUCUCGGGUGCGCAUGAGUAAGGACAAAGUGCGCACAAAAGACUCGUAUUGGUCUGUGGGGACAAUAUAUGAUCUUAGAGAGCUGCCAGGAGUAAGUACCGCCGGUCCAGGGAUUGGACGGGGUGUUAUCCUAGAGAGCUGCCAGGAGUAAGUACCGCCGGUCCAGGGAUUGGACGGGGUGUUACAAAAAGGUAGAAUGUAACCUGCAGAAUAUGUUAGUGGCCACUCUCCGAUGAACCCUCCUUUCAACACAGCUCUGUUAUCUAUCAAAAUAGUUAUCAGGUAGUCAAAUGUGAAUUCAGGUCCCCAUGCGUUAGUUAACAGUUAGCAUCGAGUUCCAAAACCGAACAAGAUGGCUGAUAGGUCCCCAUGUUCUGUGAAUUCAGGUCAAAUGUGAGAAACUAGUUUUUGAGAAGGAAGAAGUUGUGGCCGGUCUGGUUGAACUCAUCGUCUUGCAUAAAGUCACUAGGCUAGUAAUUUCAGCUGCUGCAUAUAGGCAAUAUUCAAGGUGAAUCUGACAUAAUUAAAUUCAUUUUCUGCACCAGGAACAGAAAUCAAACAGAAAGAUGGACAGACCCAAGUGUCGGACAGCAACAGAAAUCAAGCAGAGAGCUGAUCCAUCGUGCAAGAUUUGGUUUGUUUGCAAGGAACAACUGAUCUGCACCAGGUAAAGACUGCAGGCAGGCAUUCCUUUAGACAACUGACACUUGGUAUUUGCAGGAAUUGGGAUACGAAGAGAAAAGAGAAGCAUCAGAAGUAGAGGCAGCAGCCAGCCAGAAACCCGGGAAUCUACUGAAGCAACCUGUAGUAGCCGGCGAUCUACUGAAGCAGAUCUACUGAAGGCUGUUGCUGUGUCGUCUGAUCUCCGAUGAGAUGACGAUCUGACUAACUACCAGAACUUGGGUUGUAGUAGAUGAGCAAGCCGUCGCAUCUGCUCGGUCCGGCCGAUGCCGGUUGGCCAUCAUCAUGGUACUGAUUGACUGAAGAAGGAACCAUGAGCCGAUGGAUAGAUCUAUCCGCACGUUAGUCGUACGUGUCGUGUUCCCUGCCCUGCACGCCCGCCCGAUCUUCGCCGCGGUAGGCAGGCAGCAUAGCAGGUCACUGCUCUGCGCACUGUCUCCAUGCCAUUGUCCGCGGGCCAACCUGACGCGCGUUCUGUCAAGAAGGCGGCAGCAGCUUCUGUUUCCGCCGGCUCGCACGGUGCCGAUCAACUCAGAUAGCUAGACCGAUGGAUUCGGGAGCUGGCACCGAAUCUCGCUGGGAUUGAUCUAAGAACUCACCGUCGCCUGAGCAGUUGGAUCUAAGAAGAGACGCAAGAACCCUAAACGCCCUAGUUGAGACAGGGAGCAAGAAGAAUACCGGUGAGAAGCAGCCUCCGGAGGAGAUCGACGCCAGCAGGCGUGAGGAAUCCGGUCUCCGUGCCACAGUUGUCACGCGUAUGCGGCGUGCCCUUUGUGGCUGUUGCCCUAAUCCAUGAGCGGCCUAUUGCCUGCGUGCCUCCGGGAUAUUUCCCACCCCGCAGCGACCGGGCCUAGUUCCAAGGCCUGGGUGACGAGGAAAGGCCGGGAAGUAGCCCAUGUCGGGCUUAACCGAACGCGCAUUUCUG
rnacentral:lncRNA from 1 species